rnacentral:tRNA from 2 species
GCGCGCUUAGCUCAGUGGUAGAGCGUUUCAUUGACAUUGAAAAGGCCGCUGGUUCGAUCCCAGCAGCGCGCACAA